CUCAGCUCGGGCCCCGGCGCCUUGCCGAACGUCUGGAAGGUCCUGGGCUCCUCCGAGGCUGCGGCAUCCGGGGAGAAGACGUUGUCACGAAAAUUCUGUCUCAGAAAACUAGUCCCAGGCCUGAUGACAGAGGCCAAGCCAGAGGAAAGAAAAUAUGGGCCUUGUGGUUAAAAUCUGCGUCUUUAAAAAAAAAAAAA